UGGGGAAUCUUGCACAAUGGGGGCAACCCUGAUGCAGCGACGCCGCGUGAGCGAUGAAGCCCUUCGGGGCGUAAAGCUCUUUCGACCGGAACGAUAAUGACGGUACCGGGAGAAGAAGCUGCGGCUAACUACGAGCCAGCAGCCGCGGUAAUACGUAGGCAGCAAGCGUUGUUCGGAGUUACUGGGCGUAAAGAGUGCGUAGGCGGUUUUCUAAGUUCGGUGUGAAAUCUCCCGGCUUAACUGGGAGGGUGCGCCGAAGACUGGGAAGCUGGAGUGUGGGAAAGGCAGGCGGAAUUCCUGGUGUAGCGGUGAAAUGCGUAGAUAUCAGGAGGAACACCGGCGGUGUAGACGGCUUGCUAGACCAUAACUGACGCUGAGGCACGAAAGCGUGGGUAGCAAACA
rnacentral:rRNA from 1 species